ACAAGCUUUCCGGAGAACCUCCCUUUCUCAAGUCUAUAGAAAUGCUCGAGACUUGAGAAAGGGAAGUUCUCCUGAAAGCUUG